rnacentral:rRNA from 1 species
GACGUAGGAUGCGAGCGUUUAUUCGGAUUUAUUGGGCGUAAAGCGUGCGUAGGCGGCUGUUUAAGUCUGGUGUUAAAGCUAGGGGCUCAACCCCUGUGGUGCACUGGAAACUGGGCAGCUUGAGUGCGGUAGGGGAAGGUGGAAUUCCGAGUGUAGCGGUGAAAUGCGUAGAUAUCAGGAAGAACACCCGUGGCUAAGGCGGCUCUCUAGUACGGUACUGACGCUGAGGAGCGAAAGCGUGGGGAGCGAACAGG